rnacentral:lncRNA from 10 species
GGAAGUUUUAUUGUUCCUCUUUCAGAAGCAGAUCAAGUAGACAAAAAUCAAGAUUUUGCAUAUAGAUUUACACAAAACAGUCAACAAACUUGAUCCCAUGAACAUACAAAGGGCAUUGCAUCCAACAAUGGGAGAAUACAUAUUUAUAAGAGUACAUGAACUAUUAAAUUUGACCAUAUAUUUGAUUAUAAACCCAUUUCAGCAAAUUUUAAGCUAUUUGAAUAAUACAGAACACCUUCUCUCACCACAAUUCAAUUAAAUUAGGAGAAAAGCUAAUAUCCACACAUCUGUAAUUUUGAAAAUCUCUCUAGAGACUUCCACUUCUAAAUAGGAUAUAGUAGGUCAUGGCAGCCUAAAACUUUGCCUGCAACAACUAGAAAAAGAUGGAAAAAUUAUAAAGAUCAUAUUUAAAGAUAUGUGAGAGCUAUGAAAGCAAUAAGGACUAGGUGAAUGGGAAUUCCAGAGAGGGAGGAGUCCUCCUGAGGUAAGUGGCCAUUUUAUUUUCUAGGGACAUUUACUGAUUCUGGACAUGGACUAAUAAGGAUCAAGCUUGGUCUGUGAAGAGGGUCUCUCCUGAGGGAAAGGGAAACCCAGAAAAGCUUUUGGUGGUCACGUGGGGCUGGUGCAACAAAUUGGAAAAUUAAGAACUUUGGCCAGUUUCUUCUACGUGUUAUAAGUUGGGUUCCUCAGGAAAUAGACACUGAAUCUGAGAUUCGCAUCCAGAGGAUUACUGGGGUGUCUUCUCAGAGAACAUCUAUGGGGGAGCAAGAGAAACAGGAUAGGGCAUAAGAAGUUGAAUGGUGAUACAUAGCAGUUGCAACAGUAGCCUCAGCCAGUCUCAUAGGGAGCUCUGAGGAUGGGAUGGCUAUUUAGAGAUGUUCUCAAUUGAGGCUAGGAAUCUGGCCUUUGGGCCCUUGAAUCAACCAGUCAUUGCCUGUAGGCUUCCCUUGGGGAUGAUGGCAUAAUCUUGGGUGAAGCAUUCACCUUCAGUCGAGGGCAAUUCCUAGAGAGCGAUGCAGCUGGUGGCCCUCAGCUGACAAUGGCAUCUGGAGGAAUGAGUGUUUCAGACCCAAGGCAGGAUCUAGGUGGUGCAACCACAGCAUCCACUCUCUUAAAUGACACUUGCUGAAUACUGGGGCUAUGUAUGGGAGGCUGGGGAGUUAGAGUGAAGACUUACAAGGCAAGGGAACUCUCCCUUAAUCUAAUAGUGCUUAGGAGACAAAGUUCUCCACAUUCUUACCAACAGAUCUUUUUUUUUUAUUAUAGCCAUUCUGGUGAGUGUUGUUAUGCCAUUGUGGUUUUAAUUUUCUUAUUACUAAUAAUGUUAAACAUUUUUCAUGUGCUUGUUAGCCAUUCACCUAUCUUUUUGGAUAAAAUGCUGAUUUAAAUAUUUUUCUCAUUUUAAAAUUUGAAUUGUCAUCUUCUUAUUAAGUUGAAGUAGUUCUUUAUAUAUUCCGGAUCCAGUGUCUUCGUCAGAUAUAUGAUUUGCAAUUAUUUUCUCCCAGUCUGCUGCUUGUCUUUUUCCCUCCCAAAAAAAAGUGUUUCAAAGUGCAAAAUUUUAAAUUUUGAUGAAGUACAAUUUAUUUCUUUUAUGAAUCAUGCUUUUAAAGUUGUAUCUCAGAACUCUCCUCAACCUAAGUCAUAAAGAUAUUCUGCUAUAUUUUAUCUUAGAAAUUUUACAGUUUUAGCUCUCACAUUUAGGUCUGUGAUCCAUUUCAGGUUGAUUUUUGUUUGGUUUGAGAUGUGUAAAGGUUAAUUUUUGUGUUUAGUGUGAGGUGUCUAAGUUAACUUUUUUUUGCAUGUGGAUAUUCAAUUGUUUCAGCACAAUUUGUUCAAAAGACUCUCUUUCCCCCAAUGAAUUACCUUAGUAAUUUUGAUUAAAUUAGUAAAUUUGAUUAAAAUUGAUGAUCAAUUUGCCAUAAAGGUAAAAACUUAUUUGUGAACUCUCAGUUCUGCUUCAUUUAUUUAUAUGACCACACAGUCCUUUUUUGGUAUAAAUUUAAGGUGUACAAGUGCAGUUUUGUUACAUGGAUAUGUUGCAUAGUGGUGAAGUAUGGACUUUUAGUGUAAUCAUUACCAAAAUACUGCACAUUAUACCCAUUAAGUAAAUUCUUAUCCCUCACUCUUCUUCCACUCUCCCACCCUUCCAGGUCUCCAGUGAGAUUCCACAUUCUUUGUUCAUGUGUACACAUUAUUUAGUUCCCACUUAUGAGAACAUAUGGCAUUUCACUUUCUGAAUUAUUUCACUUAAGGGCCUCCAGUUCUAUUUAUGUUGCUGCAAAACACAUGAUUUUAUUCCUUUUAUGGCUGAAUAGUAUUCCAUUGCACAUAUAUAUUCAUUUUCUUAUCCAUUUUCUUUAUCCAGCCAUCGACUGAUGGAAACUUAGAUUAAUUUCAUGUCUUUGCUAUUGGACCACACAGCCUUGAUCAUUGUAUAUUUAUAGUAGGUUCUUGACAUUGAAUAGGGCACUUUGUUCUUCUUUAUAAUUUUUUUGACUCUUUGAGAUCCUUUACAUUACCAUAAACAUUUUAGAAUCAGCCUGUAAGUUUCCACCAAAAAACCCUACAAUGGUUUUGAUAGGUAUAGUGUUCACUUUAUAGAUUUGAAUAUAAUUGCAAUUUUGACAAUAUUGAGUCUUCAAAUCCAUGAACAAAGAAUCUCUCUCAAUUUAUUUAGAUCUUUAAUUUCUAUCAGCAAUGUUUUGUAGUUUUUGGUAUACUAUACUUGCACUUCUAAAAUUUAUUUCUAAGUAUCUUUUCUUUUUGAUGCAGUUGUAAAUGAAAUUGUUUUCUUAAUUUUAUUUUUAGAUCAUUUGCUGCCAGCAUAUAGAAAUAAUGUUGACCUUGUAUUUGGUGACCUUUCAAAACUAAUUUAUUAGUUCCAGUAGACAGAGAGAGAGAGAGAGGAGAGAGAGAAUGAAUGAAUGAAUGAAUGUGUAUGUGUUCUUUAGUGUUUUUUACAUGCAGGAUUAGGUCAUCUGUGAAUCAAGGCAGUAUUACUCUUUCUUUCCAAUCUUGACACCUUUAGCUUCUCUUUCUUGCUUCAUUGCACUGGCUAAACACCCUCCGUGUUGACUAGAAGUGGUAAAAACAACGUCCUUGCCUUGUUCCAGAUCUUAGGGAGAAAGUAUUCAUUCUUUUACCAUUAAAUAUGAUGUUAUCUUUGGCUCUUUAUAGAUGUCCUUCGUUAGGUUGAAGAUGUUCUUUUCUAUUUCUACUUUGUUUAGGGUUUUUUCAUAAAUGGGCGUUGGUUUUUUUCAAAUGCUUUCUUCGUAUCUAUUGGCAUGAUCAUAUGAUUUUUUUGUCUUUCAUUCUAUUAAUGUAAUUGAACAACCAUAUUGAACAAUUUUUGAAUGUUAAAAAACUACGUUUCUGAGGAUAAAGCCCACUUGUUUGUUGUAUGUAAUUUUUAAAUUUCAUGUUGCUGAAUUUGGUUUGCUAAUAUUUUGUUUAGGAUUUUUUCAUCUAUAUUCAUGAAGGAUAUUGGCCUGUACUUUUCUUGUGAUAUGUUUAUCUGGCUUUGAUAUGGCAAUACUAGUAUCAUAGAAUGAUUUGGGAAGUGUUCCCUCCCCUAUUUUCUGAAAGAGUUUCUGCAUAAUUGGUGUUAUUACUUAAGUAUUUGAUAAAUUCCAACCAAUGAAGCCACCUGGACCUGGUUUUUCUUGGGGGAAAGAUUUUUUAAUUACUAAUUUCUUUACUUAUUAUAGGUAUAUUGAUUUGUGCUCUAAUCUUUGCUUGCUUUGAAUUUUGUUUGCUUUCCCCCACCCCCAUUUUCUUAAGGAGGAAGUUUAAAUUAUUGACUUGAGACUUUUUUUCUUUCCUUUCUCUCUUUCUUUCUCUUCUGAUAUAGGAAUUUGCAUUAGUCAGGGUACUCCAGAGAAACAGAACCAAUAAGAUCUUUCUCUCUCUCUCUCUGUUGAUUUAUUAUAAGGAACUGGCUUGGCUCACAUGAUUAUGGAAGCUGUCAAAUUCUAAGAUCUACAGGGUGAGUCAGCAAGCUGGAGAUCUAGGAGAGAUGAUGGUAUAGUUCCUGUCUAAAGGCAGGAAAAAGCCAAUAUCCCAGUUAGAAAGGCAUCAGGUAGGAGUAAGUCUCUCUUACUCAAGGGAGGGCGAAUCCAUUUUUUCUAUUCAGGCCUUCAACUAAUUGGAUGAAGGCAAUUAGUGGAGGGCAAUCUACUUUACUUAGUUUAAUGAUUUAAAUGUUACUCUCAUCCAAAGAUACCCUCACAGCAACACCCAGAAUAACAUUUGAUCAAAUUUCUGGGCACCCUGUGGUGCCGUAAAAUUAACCGUGACAACAUUUAAAGCUAUAAAGUUUCUCUCUAAACACUGCUUUAGCUACAUCUUAUUAAUUUUGAUAUGAUUUUAAAAAUUCAGUUCAACAUAUAUAACUUGGCUUGUGAUUUCUUCUUUGAUCUAUGGGUUAUUUUGAAAUGUACUGUUUUCCAAUAUUUUGGAAUUUCCCAUAGUUUUCUGUUUAUUGAUUUCUAAUUUAGUUAUUAAUUCUGUUACUCUAUAGAGCCAAUUGCAUUUGAAUUCCAAGGAUGAAUGCCGUUUCCAGGCAGAAAGCUAGAGUGAACUAAAAUUUAAUCAGUAAAGAGAAAAAAAGGGAAGGGAAGGACUUCCCAGAAGGAGAGACCAAGCAUGGAUAGUAUCAGCACAGGCUUGAAAGCACAUGUGCUUAGGGCUGGCAAGAUGUUCAGUGUGGCUGGAACAAAGGAAGUGUAAUUUGUGUCUUCUUUGUUUUUGUCUUGGUUAGUAUAGCUAAAGUUUGUUAAUUUAUUUGAUCUUUUCAAAGAACCUAUUUUGCUUUCAUUUGUUUUCUCUACUAUUGUUUUUCUUUUCUACUAUAUUGAUUAUAAAGGAUAUGUAGCAGCGAUACAGAGGAAAUUGUGGGACAUGAUGUAAAAAGGUAGUGUCAAAAACUCCAUGGUGUUCAGAUUCCAGCUUCACUCUUCAAACUCUCUUCUGAAUAGUUUUUCAUUCUCUAUGAUCCCAAGGAUCAUAGAGGAGGGAUGUUUUCUCAGGAUAUUCUUGGCUGAGCACCAGCACCAAGGAAGCAGUUCUUGGAAGAAUAAGACCUGAGCAAGAAGUGAGUGGUAUCUCUGCUAAUUACUCUUCUAGAAGUCUAAUAGUCCAUCUAGCCUGUCCUUGAGAGUUGGUCAUAUAGGACCUAUUCGUUGCUGGCAGUGGAGAUCCUGAGGCUGACCCUCCCCACCCACAUUUCUCUGGUUUUCCUUUUAGAAAAAAGAAUGUCUAAGACUCAACAACCCACAGGGCAGUGACCUGAAUAGUUAGCGAGCUGCCGUUAGCCACUCAGCCUUCACACACUGCCGAGACUUGAAGGGUGUGUAUGGCUGACAUGGACUAAACUCCCUGAUGGGUGGGCUGUGCUUUCUGGCUAGUGGCUGUGCUCACAUUCUUCAUCUCCCCAUGACUCCCACCCAUCUUUUCCUCUUGGGACUCAGUGUAAACACUGCUCUCCCUGAAGCCUUCUCUUACAUUUCCAUAGGAAGUAUCCUCUCCCUUUUCUGACUGCCCUCAGUUUUUAUCUGUUCUUUCAUGAACUUACCACUUUCUCCCUUAUGGCAAAAUGAAUUGUGUCCAAUCUCCUCCACUAGAUCCCGAGCUCUGUAAAGGCAGGAUUCUAGAUGAGAUUCUGCAUUUCCCACAAGGCCUGGCCAGUAGUUGGUGAUUAAUGGUUGAAGAAAUGCUUAGGAAGGAACUCAGAGGAGGGUUCAGAAAAGUGAACUCCCAGGGCCUUCAGAGACAAGGCUUUUA